AGAGUUUGAUCCUGGCUCAGAGCGAACGCUGGCGGCAGGCUUAACACAUGCAAGUCGAACGGGCGUAGCAAUACGUCAGUGGCAGACGGGUGAGUAACGCGUGGGAACGUACCUUUUGGUUCGGAACAACUGAGGGAAACUUCAGCUAAUACCGAAUAAGCCCUUACGGGGAAAGAUUUAUCGCCGAAAGAUCGGCCCGCGUCUGAUUAGCUUGUUGGUGAGGUAACGGCUCACCAAGGCGACGAUCAGUAGCUGGUCUGAGAGGAUGAUCAGCCACAUUGGGACUGAGACACGGCCCAAACUCCUACGGGAGGCAGCAGUGGGGAAUAUUGGACAAUGGGCGAAAGCCUGAUCCAGCCAUGCCGCUUGAGUGAUGAAGGCCCUAGGGUUGUAAAGCUCUUUUG
rnacentral:rRNA from 1 species